rnacentral:rRNA from 1 species
UACGUAGGUGGCUAGCGUUGUCCGGAUUUACUGGGCGUAAAGAGCGCGCAGGCGGUCGUUCAAGUCGAGUGUGAAAGCCCCCGGCUCAACUGGGGAGGGUCACUCGAUACUGAUCGACUUGAAGGCGGGAGAGGGAAGCGGAAUUCCCGGUGUAGUGGUGAAAUGCGUUGAUAUCAUUAGGAACACCGGUGGCGAAGGCGGCUUACUGGGUCUUUUCUGACGCUGAGGCACGAAAGCCAGGGGAGCGAACGGG